rnacentral:rRNA from 1 species
GACGAACGCUGGCGGCGUGCUUAAUACAUGCAAGUCGAACGCUGAAGCUCAGCUUUUGCUGGGCGGACGAGUGGCGAACGGGUGAGUAACACGUGAGUAACCUGCCCCCUUCUUUGUGAUAACGCUUGGAAACGGGUGCUAAUACAGGAUAUUCACUGUUCUUCGCAUUGGGGUUGGUGUGAAGGGCUUUUUUGGUGUGGGAUGUGCUCGCGGCCUAUCGGCUUGUUGGUGGGGUUAUGGUCUACCAAGGCUUAGACGGGUAGCCGUCGUGAGAGGGUGACCGGUAACAUUGGGACGGAGAUACGGCCCAGGCGAGGACGGGGGGCGGAAGUGGGGAAUAUUGCACAAUGGGCGCAGGAGUGAUGCAGCGUGACUGAGGGAGGGAUGGAGACCUUCGGGUUGUGAAACUAUUUAGCUCAUAGUCAGGACGCAACAAUGGUUGUGGUGAGGGUAGUGGGUAAAGAAGCGCCGGCUAACUACGUG